GACGAACCGUGCAAACGUUGUUCGGAUUCACUGGGCUUAAAGGGCGCGUAGGCGGGCGGUCAAGUCGGGGGUGAAAUCUUUCAGCUUAACUGGAAAAGUGCCUCCGAUACUGAUCGUCUUGAGGGAGGUAGGGGCAUGUGGAACUUCCGGUGGAGCGGUGAAAUGCGUAGAUAUCGGGAGGAACACCUGUGGCGAAAGCGGCUCACUGGACCACAACUGACGCUGAGGCGCGAAAGCUAGGGGAGCAAACAGG
rnacentral:rRNA from 1 species